rnacentral:rRNA from 1 species
UAGAAUAAUAUCCUGGAUUGACACUGGGUGCUAGUUUGAGUGGUUGUAAGUUGACCUGCGCUUAAUUGCGCGGUUGGUUGCACUGCUUUUAAGCUGGUGCUAAUUAUAAACGGUGUCUUUCUGCUUUACACACUGUGGAGAUUUCUUCUUUCAGUAUUUUUCUUUGGGUUCAUUUUUGAGCCCAGAGGUAUUAAACACAAACAAUUUUGUAAUUUUAUACUAGUCUAGAUCAGUUUUAUUUUGAAACUACAAACUUCA